GUAACACGUAUGUAACCUACCUUUACCAGGGGGAUAGCCUCUCGAAAGAGAGAUUAAGACCGCAUAAAAUUGCGACACAGCAUUGUGAUGCAAUCAAAUAUUUAUAGGGUAAAGAUGGGCAUGCGGAACAUUAGCUAGUUGGUAAGGUAAUGGCUUACCAAGGCUACGAUGUUUAGGGGAUCUGAGAGGAUGACCCCCAAACUGGUACUGAGACACGGACCAGACUCCUACGGGAGGCAGCAGUAAGGAAUAUUGGGUCAAUGGGCGGAAGCCUGAACCAGCCAUGCCGCGUGCAGGAAGACGGCCCUACGGGUUGUAAACUGCUUUUAUACCGGAAUAAACCUCGAUACGUGUAUCGAGCUGAAUGUACGGUAAGAAUAAGGAUCGGCUAACUCCGUGCCAGCAGCCGCGGUAAUACGGAGGAUCCAAGCGUUAUCCGGAUUUAUUAGGGUUUAAAGGGUGCGUAGGUGGCCUGUUAAGUCAGGGGUGAAAGACGGUAGCUCAACUAUCGCAGUGCCCUUGAUACUGACCGGGCCUUGAAUGAACUAGC
rnacentral:rRNA from 1 species